ACGCUCGACACCUACGGGGGCAGCAGUCGGGAAUAUUGCGCAAUGGAGGAAACUCUGACGCAGUGACGCCGCGUGCAGGAAGAAGGUUUUCGGAUUGUAAACUGCUUUAGACAGGGAAGAAAGAAAUGACAGUACCUGUAGAAUAAGCUCCGGCUAACUACGUGCCNGCAGCCGCGGUAAUCUGAGCGGGCUGGCAAGGC
rnacentral:rRNA from 1 species